AUAUAAGCAAAAAACUAUAUUUUAGGUUCAUUUAUUUAAUGAUGCACAUGGUCUUUAUUAUAUACCACAUACAUCAUUAAAUAAAUGAACCUAAAAUAUAGUUGUUUGCUUAUAU
rfam:Medicago truncatula strain A17 chromosome 2, whole genome shotgun sequence.